UAUACUUAAUUGGACCAACAUAUUUUCUAAGGAUUCUGAAUUUCAUUCUGGUGAUGACAUGUGUCUACACUUAAAUGUUGUAAUGUUUCUGAAUUAAUAUAUAAGGGAUUAACUUUCAAAAGAGCUUUUCUUUCUCCCAUAAACACUUUAGUCUCCUCAAUAACGUAGUUGGUAUCCAUCAUGUUUGCGUAAACCUUGGUAAGAACAAUCAAAGUUGUGCAGCGGCUCUGUCUUCUUUGUCUUGAGAUUAAAAACAAAGAUAGAACUUGUGUUAUCCCUUUUAACACUGAAAUAGAUGGAAUCUCUAAUGAAUCCGUCAUUGCCGAGCACAGUGAUGCCUUGAUCCAAAAGCAUUGACUCGUCUCCCAAAGAACCAACGAGUUGGUGAUUCCUCAUCCUCAGGAAUCCUAGUGAACAAACCUUGAUAACCCUGAAGGACCAGGUUUCAGACCUCGGCCUCCACCAUUUUUCAACCUUGAAGACUUCUCCUGUCACCGUGACUACAAGUUUUGUCGGAACAACAAGACCUAAACGUAGUCUUUCCACAAUAACACCGCACUGUAAUAUGACACUUUUAGAACUGGUAAGCACCCUAUACGUGCUUCUUUGUUAUUGGCUAAUGUCUUCUCUCUGUUUCUCUUCCUCUUCGUCGACGUUGGAGAAACAAGAGCCUGAAUCGUCAACAUCGGAGGAGGCGCAAGCUGUGACUCCGUGGGUCGUCUCCGGUAAUGUCGAUCACGGGAAGGUGAUCGAAAAGUUCGGCUGCGAUAGGAUAGACGAGUCGCUGAUUUGCGUGUUUGAUGAUUCGGUUUUUUUUUGUGUGUUUGAUGAUUCGGUUUUUGAUUUGCAUUGAUGGGGAUGUUAAAAGUUAUGUUCUUUUGGCUGAGUGAGGAUGAAUGGGUUGAACAAAGUAACCAGGAGAGGGGAGAACAAAGUAACCAGGACUCUUGGGUCUCGGGAAUUCAUGCGAUACUACAAACAUAAGCCACCACCAUCUUCUCAGAAACACAUUGUCGACUCUCUAGCCACGAGGUUUGUUUCCUGUGAUAAGGGUUCGUCAGUUUCGUUAAAGCUCCAGACUUUAUGUUUUCAAUUGCCUCUGACGACACAGAACGCUUAAGUGGUGGUUAAUCAAGUAAGUGUUCACGCUGGUGUGUAGGGAAGCAAUGGAUGAAUCUGCAGAAUGGCGGAGAAUGUUUGACUGUGAAGCUGAGAAAGCUUCUAACUGUAACUCAGAGCUGGCACUGGUACUGUUUCUCUAAGCUCCUCCUCCAUGUAGAGAAAGGUUUUUUCACUUUUAUUUUGCUUUAGGGAUUGACUUCGAAUGGUACCUAGUUAUGGUUGUCUCUGUGGUGACAUGUAAACCCAUGUUCUGCUCAACUUGCAUUUGUUUUCGUGGUUAGUGCAUUCCUAUAGUCUUGUAAAUGGUUAUUUUGUUGGCUCUGUGUCCCUGGAUCGUUGAAGGUUUAGUUUACCUGUGGCUCAUUAGUUCUUCUGUUUACCUGUGUCCCAAUCAUAAAUUCAAAUCCACAAUCCUUAUAAGUUAUAAUAUUGGAUGCUUGUGGCUCAUUAGUUCUUCUGUCUAUUGGGUUAGGAAAAUGCAGCAUUGCUCACUAAGAUAGAGACACUAAAACAAGAGCUGGAAGCUUCAAGGUUAAAGUGCCGUUCAAGAGAGGCACCCCAUUAGAUUGGUUUUCUGUAGUAGACAUCCAGCGUUUGAUAUUAGCUCUCGCUCAUUCAGCUGCUGGUAAGAAAAUCUUAAACAUUUCAUUCUCAUGUAUAACAGUUGUUGUAGUAGACGAUUUGUAGGCUCUUUUUGGAACAAUCAUACUAGCAAUACCUGUAAUAUACAUCAUCAUUUUCAUCA